UCAUAAUAUAGUUGGGACCUA
rnacentral:piRNA from 1 species